GCCAACUUGCGCUCUCUUUGUUAUUGCAUUGCCCCCACCAAAUUAUCAGUGGCACUCAAUGCAACACCUACAUGUCCGACACAUUGCUGUUACAGUAAAAGACAAUAUUACGGAUUAAUCUGACAGUAAGUGGACUGGGUGUUCAUAAUGCGUGGGAAAUAAGCUAAGCAUGUCUUCACUGCAGACACAAAUAAGAUCUGGAAAUUGAAAAGUUGGCAAAAAUUUGUACAGAAGUAGGUUUCACAAAGUGCAAGGGGUCGA